rnacentral:rRNA from 1 species
AUUGAACGCUGGCGGCAGGCUUAACACAUGCAAGUCGAACGAGUGGCGGACGGGUGAGUAAUGCUUGGGAAUCUGCCUGAUGGAGGGGGAUAACUACUGGAAACGGUAGCUAAUACCGCAUACCAUCAGAUGUGCCCAGAUGGGAUUAGCUAGUAGGUGGGGUAAUGGCUCACCUAGGCGACGAUCCCUAGCUGGUCUGAGAGGAUGACCAGCAACACUGGAACUGAGACACGGUCCAGACUCCUACGGGAGGCAGCAGUGGGGAAUAUUGCACAAUGUGCGCAAGCCUGAUGCAGCCAUGCCGCGUGUGUGAAGAAGGCCUUCGGAUUGUAAAGCACUUUCAGCGGGGAGGCGUUACCCACAGAAGAAGCACCGGCUAACUACGUGCAAGCAGCCGCGGUAAUUC